CCAUAAAAAUCAUCAUGUGUUUUUUGUCCUCUGGAAUAAAUAUCUUAAUGUACAUUUUCCUAUCAAAAUCACUUAUAAUUUCCACAUCAACAUCAUUCCUCAAGAAGAACAAAAUCUUUUCAAAAACAUUGGCUCUAACACUAUGCAUAUUAAACUUUUAGAGAAUCUUUAAAUCUUCUUGGAUGUUGAAAAGUCUCUAUUAGAGCUAUUAAGAAGAAUUUAUGAUGCCUAUCAAGCAUUUGGAGUCUACUGAAGUACGUACAGUAUUCUAGAACCUUAUGUUCCCAUAAAAUAGAUUUUAUUAUCUUUUACCCAAUUAUUUGUCACCACACUUCUCCUUUGCAAUAUCCUUUUAGGGAUAUUUCAACUUUGAUGUGUGACUAAUUCGUGUAGGAUAUUUGUUGGGCUCUUCUGCACUAAAACUGGUUCAAUUUUGAGAAGAUUCUUCUUUCCUGAGUCUAAUAAGGUUGAUUGUCUUUUAUGCCAAGUACACGGAGAUCAGGUGAACCUUAAUUACCUAAUCAUCCAGAACCUCAACUUAUUGGAAGUAUGGAUGGUCAAUAGGACCUAGAGAGGGUAGCUGCUCAGCAAGAAGAAACUAGACUUGCUGCCAUAGCAACUGCACAACUGAAUCAGCAGAAUGUGGAUAAUCCGAGCUGAGCACUAAACCCAGAUGAUGAUGAUCUAUGUGAUGAUGAUUUAUUAAAUCCAGAAACCAGAGGCAUGCAGAAAAUGUACCUACACCGACGAAUAGAAAUGUCAACAGAAAUCGCUCUACUAGGGUGAGAUCAAAGCGCCAAGCCGUCCAAUUUAAUCUUGUGGAUGAUGAUGAUGACUUAGAUAGAGCUGGUGCAACAGGGGCUAUUAUUCCUCCGCCCUCAGCACCCAGAUCUAUGUUUAAUAUUACAAGUACUAUGAUCCAGUUAUUUUGCCUCAAAGGACUAUUCGGUGGACUUGUAGGUGAUGACCCAAAUAUGCAUUUGGUCAACUUUAUCUUGAUAUGCAUAUUUUUUGACAAAGUA